rnacentral:rRNA from 1 species
GACAGAGGUCCCGAGCGUUAGGCGGAAUCACUGGGCUUAAAGCGUGUGUAGGCGGAUCGUUAAGUACCUUGUGAAAUCCCACGGCUCAACCGUGGAACUGCUGGGUAUACUGGCGGUCUUGAGCCACCUAGGGGCGAGCGGAACAAACGGUGGAGCGGUGAAAUGCGUAGAUAUCGUUUGGAACGCCAACGGUGAAAACAGCUCGCUGGGGGUGUGCUGACGCUGAGACACGAAAGCCAGGGGAGCGAACGGG